UACGUAGGGGGCAAGCGUUGUCCGGAAUCAUUGGGCGUAAAGAGCGUGUAGGCGGUUCGGUAAGUCGGCUGUGAAAGCCCAGGGCUCAACCCUGGGAUGCCGGUCGAUACUGCCGGACUAGAGUUCGGAAGAGGCGAGUGGAAUUCCCGGUGUAGCGGUGAAAUGCGCAGAUAUCGGGAGGAACACCUAUGGCGAAGGCAGCUCGCUGGGACGUUACUGACGCUGAGACGCGAAAGCGUGGGGAGCAAACAGG
rnacentral:rRNA from 1 species